GACGAACGUUGGCGGCGUGCUUAAUACAUGCAAGUCAACUGAAGCAGUGGUAGCAAUAUCGCUGUGGAGGUGGCGCACGGGGGAGUAACACGUAGGUAAUCUGCCUUCAGGUCUGGCAUAACUCCGGGAAACCGGGGCUAAUAGCAGAUGAUGCAGCGGCUCGACAUCGAGACAGUUGUUAAAGCUAUGGCGCCUGAAGAUGAGCCUGCGUCUGAUUAGCUAGUUGGCGGGGUAACGGCCCACCAAGGCAACGAUCAGGAGCUGGUCUGAGAGGAUGACUAGCCACACGGGAACUGAGACACGGUCCAGACUCCUACGGGGGGCAGCAGUGAGGAAUACUGCUCAAUGGGAGACAUCCUGGAGCGGCAACGCCGCGUGAGGGACGAAGGGCUUUUGCUUGUAAACCUCUGUAGUGAGAGAAAAAAAUCCCAAUCUUUGGGACAUGAUGGUAUCUCAAAAGUAAGCCCCGGCUAACUACGUG
rnacentral:rRNA from 1 species